rnacentral:antisense_RNA from 1 species
CUUUUUGCUCACCCCACCUGGUACUCCAUGUCGUAGCUGGGCAGGAUGAUCCGCCCGUGCUUCCACUCGCCGCCCUGGUCCUCGCGGAUGACCCACAGCAGCUUGCUCUCCUGGCUGGCUUCCCGCACCACCUGCAGCGCCACCCCGCGGCCGCCCGUGGCCUGCAUUUACUGACUGUACUGCUGAUUUUAUGUUUUUAAAAGGACUUCAGGCCAUUUUCCAUGGAUUUCAGCAGUUAUCUAGUGAGGGAGAAUGAGACAGCUAUAAAGAUACCAGCCACUGAACACUCCAUCAAGGGAUCCCACAGAAGACACAUCCCUCCAUUACUUGCUUCUUGGUUCAUACCAAAACCAGGGAACUAAAGAAUCAUCAAGGGCCCCUGGAGGUUGCUCUCAUGUGAAUGUCCAAAGCACUGGAGCAGUGUUGUCCAAUACAUUCUGUGAUGAUGCCGUGUAUACAGUGAUGUGCCCUGUCUAUGCACUGACCAAUACAGUGUAGCUACUGUGCCCUUGGAAUGUGGCUGGUGGGACAGCAGAACCGAAGUUUUGGCUGUAAUCAUUUUAAUUAAUUAAAAUAAAAUUGCCACACAUGGC